AAACACUACACAGCUUCCCCUGCCCAGAGGAUAAGGGAAGCAAGGAAGAGUGCUCGGCCGAAUCCAAGAAAACAAAGGAAAUCAAAGGAAAAUUUUCAUCUAUUCGAGAAUUUUAAAGAGUACAAAUAACAUUGGGAGAAGCACAACUAACUGAUAAAAACAAAAGAACACAAUCAACGAUUACAACAAUGUCCUGUAUCCAACCAGAAAUCUUUCAGUAGUGUGUUACAUAGACAUUAUAUUCAACAAUAGCAUCCCCAGUCUCCAUAUCAAUCUGAACUGUAUGUGCCAAUGCAUAGCCAUGAGCAAGCCUAAAAGCCCCACUGCCUCCAACAAUUGGCAUCUCUCUUAUAUCAUCAAAGAUGUGGUUCCUCCCAAGAAUGCUAAUGCUGCUUCCAUUAUAGAUGCCCUCUGUAAACACAUAAUUCACAACCAUUAACAGCGAAAAAUCAUUCUGGGCAGCCAUGGCAUAUAAUCCCUGAGCUUUUCCAAUCAUCUUGGAAGUAAUCUGAGGCCCUUCAGUCAAUGGAUCAUCCAUCAUCAUUGUAUUGCCAAAGUUACCAAUGCUGCUAUUUGGGGGUCCAGCAAUUCUUACAACAGUAGAAUUCUUUCCACCAACAAUAUCAUGGAAGUAGAAAUGGAGGUGCGUCGUCUUUUCUUCAUGCUUUAGAGCUAUACCUUGGGCUAAUUCUUCAUAGAAAACUCCUUGAGAAAUGGAGAAAAUUGAUGGGAACAAGAUGAAGUAGAGGGUGAAGAGAGAAUAUGUGAGAAAAGAAGCCAUUAUAAGAUUUUUUUUUUUUCAGGUGGUCUGUUUUUCCAGGACAUGUAGAUGACUGGGAUUGGGAAUGAUUUGAUUUUAAAGGG
rnacentral:misc_RNA from 1 species